UACGAAGGGGGCUAGCGUUGCUCGGAAUCACUGGGCGUAAAGGGUGCGUAGGCGGGGCUUUAAGUCAGGGGUGAAAUCCUGGAGCUCAACUCCAGAACUGCCUUUGAUACUGGAGAGCUUGAGUCCGGGAGAGGUGAGUGGAACUGCGAGUGUAGAGGUGAAAUUCGUAGAUAUUCGCAAGAACACCAGUGGCGAAGGCGGCUCACUGGCCCGGUACUGACGCUGAGGUGCGAAAGCGUGGGGAGCAAACAGG
rnacentral:rRNA from 1 species